GGAUCAGAAUCACAAAUUAAAGGCUGGGUGGGAAUUCUGCUUCCUGAGGUGUUUGGAAACGCUUUGGAAUUUGGAAUGUGGGAUGUGGGGUUUGGAAUGUGGGAUGUGGGGUUUGGAAUGUGGGAUGUUGGAUUUGGGAUGUGGGAUUUAGGGUGUGGGAUUUGGAAUGUGGGAUGUGGAAUUUGGAAAUGUGUAAAAAUGUGAGAUUUGGAAUGUGGGAUGAGGGAUUUGGAAUGCAAGGUUUGGGGUUUAGAAUGUGGGAUGUGGGGUUUGGAAUGUGUGGAAAUGUGGGAUUUGGAACGAGUGACAAUGUGGGAUGUGGGAUUUGGGAUGUGGGAUGUGGGAUUUGGGAUGUGGGAUGUGGGAAUUGGGAUGUGGGAGCAUCCCCCUGCCUGGAGCUGCCCCAGUCACAGCUCCAUGGCGCUCCAGGCUGGAUUUCUGGGAUCAUGGAGGGAUUAUCCCGCUCUGCUCCUCCCUGGAACCGUCAGGCCUGGCCGUGUAAUGAGCUUGCAAAUCCACAGAGAAAAAAACCUGGACAAAUCCAAGGCUGCUCCAGCAUCCCUCCUGUUGGGUUUUCCGUGCUGGAAAAGGGAAUUUUCAUCCCUUCCUCCCCUCUCUGUCAGCUCCAGCUCCUGGCAAACAGCGCUGGGAUCCUCCCAUCCCAUUUUCCACACCCCUGUAAUGUCCAAGGACUGGGAUAGUGGGAAUUGUCCCAGCCCACAGCUGAGGCUGGAAUGAGAAGAUUUUAAAUUCCAUCCCGACCCAAUCCUGUCUGGAAUUCUGUGAUUCCACAAUUUUACCAUUGCCAAGCUCCCAAGAUUCCCAAAAUCCCUUUUUCCAUAGGCACAGUUGGGUGGGGAAUUGACAUUUCUUCUCCUAAAAACCCCAAAAUAACUAAAAAAUCCUAAAUAAAUAAAGCAAUUCCAGCCCCUCACUCUUCCUGUGCCCAACAUUUCCAGCACUGCAUGAUUGUCUUGGGAGAAAAAAAUUCCAAUCCCCAUCAAGGGAGGGGCUGGAAUUUGAAACCUGAAAUUCUUGCACAUAAAAAUUCCCAAAAUCCCAUCAAAAAAUGGGAAUGUGGCAGCUCCUUGGGAAUGUUUCCCUGUUUGUUGUCUCCUGCAGGAAAGAAAAGGCCAAAAUCGUUGAAUUCCAACCCAAAUCUUGGCAUUCCUGCAGCUGAAGGGUUCCCGUUUUUCCUCCCCACCAGAUAUUGGGAUUUUUAUGGAAUCUUGGAUUUUGGGGUUGUUUCAUUCCUUGGUUUGUUCUCCUUGGUUUAUUUUGGUUUGGUUUGUUUUGUUUUCCAUUAUAGACAUCAUUAAAAAAAAUAAAUUUUCCAAGAAUACAUUUGGAAGUUGUUGUGGGAAUUGGAGGAAUUAAAAAAAAAAAGAAAAAACACAUUUUGAAAAAAAGGAAAAUAAAGGGAAAAGUGGGAAUUAAAAAGCCACAGGAUAGAUAGGGUUAUGUAUAUGGGAAUAUCCAUAUGUUAUAUGUAUAUAGGAAAUAAAGUGGGGAGGGAAAAUCAGGAAUUCCAACCCUGGAUGGGUCAAAAUCCACUCCCAAUCCACAUUCCAAAUACAAAUUUAAAAAAUUAAAAAGGAGAAUGGAACCUCUCCCCCUGGAAUGAUUGAAAACAUCAGCACAACCUCACACGUUUCACACCAGUUUCUUUUCUCUUCCAUUCGGAAAGUCCCAGAGGAAAAAUUCCCAACCAAAGUCCCCCAAAAUCCAACGGGAAGAGCUCCGGGAUUCUGCUCCAGGUGGCUCCCGACGGCGCCUUCAUCCUCAGGGAUGUUCCCACGUGGAAUCCUCGUUGUCCCUGUGACCCCGGUGCAAAAAAUCCUGAAAUUCACCUUCCCCAAAUCUUUCCUCCGACUUCUUUCCCCUCCCCGGCACCGCUGGCAGCUCCAGACCCCCAUUCCAGGCCUAUUCCAGGGAGUUUUCCUUAGAACCGCUCCGGAAAACCAACCCAGAAAAGACCAAAAAGAAAAAAACAACCCUGGGAAAAACAAAAAGUAGGAAGAAAACCACCAAAGUUUCCCAGCGUGGUGAAGAGUCCUCCUGCCUCUCCGGAGCUCGGCAUUCCCGGGGGUUGGGAGCGUUCCAGUCUCUGGCACUGGUGGGCACUGGUGGGCACUGGUGGCACUGGUGGCACUGGUCUGAGUGUCCCCAUCCCACCGGCCGCUCCUUCCCGCCCCUCUAUAGCCCCAGUGCCGGGAUCAGGAUGGGAAUGAGGAGCAGGAUCCGGCUCUCCCGGUGCCUCCCGGUGCCUCCCGCCUUGGGAUCCGUGAACGUUUUCUGCUCCGGCAUCACAUCCGUGGUCAGCUGUGCCUGGAAAGAGGGACGGGGGUGGGAGUUUAGGGAAAGGCAUCCCAAAGUUGGGAAACACCUCCAGGGUGUCCUUCCCAGCCCUGGGAUUCCUCCAAGUACCUCGGAGUAGCACAGGCUCUGCUCCUUGGAUUUGUUGGGUUUCAGGCCUUGCUCCUGGAAGGAGAAAUUGGGAGCGGUCAGGGUGGGAAUGUGCCCGUGGAGCUCGGAAUUCCCUGUGGGAAUCGGCUCAGGGAGGGUGAUGAAGCACAGGGAGGUUUGGGAAAGGCUCAGCCCAGCUCAGCUCGGGGGGUUCAGUGGGUCCGGCCUCACUCCCACCAUGAUCCUGUCGGGAAUUCUGCUGGAAAUCCUGCCUGGAGUCCUGGGACACCUCGCCUGUCCCCACCGCAUUCCUCUGCAUUCCUGGGACACCCCCAGCCAUUCCCUAAUCCCAUUCCAGGAAUAUCCCCAGCCAUUCCCCAAUCCCAUUCCCCAACCCCAUUCCCCAAUCUCAUUCCUCAAUCCCAUUUCCCUGCACUCCUGGAACAUCCCCAGCCAUUCCCCAAUCCCAUUCCCCAACCCCAUUCCCCAAUCCCAUUCCUCAAUCCCAUUUCCCUGCACUCCUGGAACAUCCCCAGCCAUUCCCCAAUCCCAUUUCCCUCCCCAGCCAUUCCCCAAUCCCAUUCCCCAAUCCCAUUUCCCUCCCAUUCCUUUUCCACCCAUGUAGAAAAAUAUGGACGCCCAAGCCCAGCACUUGUCAAGACCACACGGAUUUUCCAGAUUUCCCCAAAAAACCUGGAAUUCCAUCUCCCAAACAAGAAGAACUCAGGCUCACAAAAUCACCUCGCCAGCCGAGCGAGGAGACAGGCGGGGAACCCCUCCCUCCCCAUUCCAGACCCCAAACCGCGCCCAGAUCCUCCUGGAUGAAUCCCAGAGGACAUUUUGGGGUGCGGCCGAUGUCCCCCAGCCCCACCAGUGCUCCCAGUUUGGCGGGGCCGCACCUGGAGCGAGGUGCAGGUGCUGAUGACGCUGGCGUCGUACGCGGUGUUGCUGUCGUUGACGUCGUCCGGCAGCGCCGGGCUCUUCUCCGUCUUGGGCAGCACCGUCACGGCGGGAUUGGGAUUUUUGGGAGCCACGUUCACGUCGGUCCCGUUCCCAAAAGCUUGGAUGGCGUUUCCUGAGAGAGGGGUGGAUUUAGGAAGGGUGGGUGUUGGGAAGGAUCGGGAUUUGGCAAGAAAAUCUUACAGAUAUUUGUGUAUAACAAAAGGAUAUUUGAAUGUGGAAUCUGAAGAAGGAAUGGAAAUGAAAGGAAGUUUUGAUAUAAAAGAAAAGAAUUGCUGAGCCAGUCUUAGGGGUAAAUAAGAAGGCAAAGAGCAAGUGAGUUGGAAGGGUUUGUAUAACUCUGAGCAAAAGAUAAAUCCGCCUCAAACAAAAGAUGUUUUUACCAAGCAAAAAAAUGUUCACAAACAAACAAGAAAACCAAUAUUAGAAAUAGAAGAAAAUCUCAAAAUCUCCCACUACAAAAAAACUAAAAAACAACUUCUAACUUAAACUGUAACACACUAACCUUUUAUAAUUAGAAAGUAGUAACAUAAAUAUGAUAAUGUUGAUAGUUAAAAUAAGCUAUAAAAAAUAGUAAAAGUAUUGAUUGGUUGUUAUGUAAUAAGAUGCACAGCAAAGAAAGAAAUAUAAUAUAUAAUGAUUUGCAACAUAAAUAAAACAGAACUUCAGAACACCAGCUAUAGGCUCACCCACGACCCACAACUCUUGUAAUCUCGCCUAUAUAAUUGUCUUGGGGUGCAAUACAGGAUGUGACCAAAAGUGUCUGUUCUAUCACCAGCAGUUAAACCAGCUGUGGCAGUGAUCCUGAUCUCUGUGGGAUAUCUCCUGUUCAUGGCCAGCUGUUAAACCAGCUGGGGCAGUGUUCUUUAUCUUCCCACAGCCCAUCCUCCCUCCAGGAGAUCUCUCCUGUCCAUGGCCACUGAGUCCCAGGGCAUGGCUGAUAAAAUUACUGCAUCCCAUGGGGAGAUGCUCCAGCCAGGGGAGGAGCCAAGCAUUUCCUACCCUGAUCAAAUCUGAGAUUUGGAACAUCAGAGCAGCCUUUCCCACUGGAUCCCAGAGGAAAACCAGACCCUUCCACAUCAUCCCUGGAGCUCCAGAGGGAAACUGCACCUUGUCCAGGAGCACUGCUCCAGCUGAGCCACAUCUGUCACUGCAGGAGGAUGCAGCCACCAUGGGAUGGGACUGCUGCCAACACGCUG
rnacentral:lncRNA from 1 species